rnacentral:rRNA from 1 species
AAUAUUGGACAAUGGGCGAAAGCCUGAUCCAGCCAUGCCGCGUGUGUGAAGAAGGUCUUCGGAUUGUAAAGCACUUUAAGUUGGGAGGAAGGGCAGUAAGUUAAUACCUUGCUGUUUUGACGUUACCGACAGAAUAAGCACCGGCUAACUUCGUGCCAGCAGCCGCGGUAAUACGAAGGGUGCAAGCGUUAAUCGGAAUUACUGGGCGUAAAGCGCGCGUAGGUGGUUUGUUAAGUUGGAAGUGAAAGCCCCGGGCUCAACCUGGGAACUGCUUUCAAAACUGUGCGGCUCGAGGGCGGUAGAGGAAGGUAGAAUUCCCGGUGUAGUGGUGAAAUGCGUAGAUAUAGGAAGGAACAUCAGUGGCGAAGGCGACUACCUGGACUGAUACUGACACUGAGGUGCGAAAGCGUGGGGAGCAAACAGG